GACAUAGGUUGCGAGCGUUAUUCGGAAUUACUAGGCGUAAAGCGAGUGUAGGCGGACUCUUAAGUCUGACGUUAAAUCUCCCGGCUUAACUGGGAGCUGUCGUCGGAUACUGAGAGCCUCGAAUGGAGUAGGGGGCAGGGGAAUUCCCGGUGUAGCGGUGAAAUGCGUAGAUAUAGGAAGGAACACCAGUGGCGAAGGCGACCACCUGGACUGAUACUGACACUGAGGUGCGAAAGCGUGGGGAGCAAACAGG
rnacentral:rRNA from 1 species